GCUGUGGCUCGGUGGUGAAGCAUCUGCUUGACAUACAGAACGUCCCGGGUUCAGUCCCCAGCAUCUCCA
rnacentral:tRNA from 1 species